UACAGAGGUCUCAAGCGUUUGUUCGGAUUCAUUGGGCGUAAAGGGGUGCGUAGGCGGCGCGGUAAGUCGGAUGUGAAAUCUCGGGGCUUAACUCCGAAACUGCAUUCGAUACUACCGUGCUUGAGGACUGGAGAGGAGACUGGAAUUUACGGUGUAGCGGUGAAAUGCGUAGAUAUUCGCAAGAACACCAGUGGCGAAGGCGGCUCACUGGCCCAUAACUGACGCUGAGGCACGAAAGCGUGGGGGAGCAAACAGG
rnacentral:rRNA from 1 species